GUAUAACUUUUAAUUUAUUGCCAACACAUUCUGAACAAGUUUUGUGUUUUUGUAAAACAUAGAUCUGGAAAAUGCAAGGCAAAAGCUGGCUAACAAAGCACAGCAAGUCCCAACUCGAAACUAAAUUUCAAACAAGCCCCAGGUCUACAAGAGGUGCACAGUUGGAGAAAUGAUAAAGAUGACAAGCGUGCACAUGCCUCCCUUCUGCAGGGCGACCAGCAACAGCCUGUUCAAGUUUAUUCGAUAAUGAUCCUUCCGCAGGUUCACCUACGGAAA
rnacentral:misc_RNA from 1 species